rnacentral:misc_RNA from 1 species
AGCUGCUGAAAGAGAAGCUGCAUUAGUAAAAAUACGCCAGGAGAAGCUAUUGUCAUUGGGCCCUGAACCUGAGAAGGGUCCUGAUGUUACCCAGGUUUUGGUACGGUUUCCUACUGGAGAGCGCAAGGAGAGGAGAUUUCAUUGUACUACAACAUUACAGUCGUUGUAUGACUAUGUCGAUUCUCUAGGAUGCCUAGCGGUUGAGAACUACAGUCUUGUAUCCAACUUCCCUCGCACUGUAUAUGGUUCAGAGAAGCUCAGUUUGUCCCUGAAAGAUGCCGGAUUACAUCCUCAGGCCAGCCUUUUUAUCGAAUUGAGCUAAAUGAGAACUUUAGAAGUCGGUAUGGUUUAGAAAAUUUUCCUACUAUAAUGUUUGUAAUUCGUCAGAGUAGUUUUAGCAAUUGAAUUCAAUAGAAAAAAUUGUUUCCUAUACUGUUCUUUUGUUUCUGUGACAACAAAUAAAUAAGCGAAUGGAUUUUACUUGUGGUAGCAAAUUUUAGUACACAUUUGUAAAGAAGCUUGUUU